GGAGAAGUACUCAAGCAGGCUUAAGAGGACGGUUUGCUAAACCGUUAGGCUGGGUAACCGGUGCAUGGGUUCGAAUCCCAUCUUCUCCGCCA
rnacentral:tRNA from 1 species